rnacentral:rRNA from 1 species
UUGAACGCUGGCGGCAGGCCUAACACAUGCAAGUCGAACGGUAACAGGGAUCAGCUUGCUGAUUCGCUGACGAGUGGCGGACGGGUGAGUAAUGUCUGGGAAACUGCCUGAUGGAGGGGGAUAACUACUGGAAACGGUAGCUAAUACCGCAUAACGUCGCAAGACCAAAGAGGGGGACCUUCGGGCCUCUUGCCAUCGGAUGUGCCCAGAUGGGAUUAGCUAGUAGGUGGGUAACGGCUCACCUAGGCGACGAUCCCUAGCUGGUCUGAGAGGAUGACCAGCCACACUGGAACUGAGACACGGUCCAGACUCCUACGGGAGGCAGCAGUGGGGAAUAUUGCACAAUGGGCGCAAGCCUGAUGCAGCCAUGCCGCGUGUAUGAAGAAGGCCUUCGGGUUGUAAAGUACUUUCAGCGGGGAGGAAGGGAGUAAAGUUAAUACCUGUGCUCAUUGACGUUACCCGCAGAAGAAGCACCGGCUAACUCCGUG